rnacentral:rRNA from 2 species
UACAUGCAGUCGAGCGGACAGAAGGGAGCUUGCUCCUGGAAGUCAGCGGCGGACGGGUGAGUAACACGUAGGUAACCUGCCCCUUAGACUGGGAUAACUCCGGGAAACCGGAGCUAAUACGGGAUAAUAAAGAGAAUCACCUGAUUCUCUUUUGAAAGACGGUUUCGGCUGUCACUAAGGGAUGGGCCUGCGGCGCAUUAGCUAGUUGGUAAGGUAACGGCUUACCAAGGCGACGAUGCGUAGCCGACCUGAGAGGGUGAUCGGCCACACUGGGACUGAGACACGGCCCAGACUCCUACGGGAGGCAGCAGUAGGGAAUCUUCCGCAAUGGACGAAAGUCUGACGGAGCAACGCCGCGUGAGUGAGGAAGGCCUUCGGGUCGUAAAGCUCUGUUGUGAGGGAAGAACAAGUACCGGCGUAACUACCGGUACCUUGACGGUACCUCACCAGAAAGCCACGGCUAACUACGUGCCAGCAGCCGCGGUAAUACGUAGGUGGCAAGCGUUGUCCGGAAUUAUUGGGCGUAAAGCGCGCGCAGGCGGCUUCUUAAGUCUGAUGUGAAAUCUCGGGGCUCAACCCCGAGCGGCCAUUGGAAACUGGGAAGCUUGAGUGCAGAAGAGGAGAGUGGAAUUCCACGUGUAGCGGUGAAAUGCGUAGAUAUGUGGAGGAACACCAGUGGCGAAGGCGACUCUCUGGUCUGUAACUGACGCUGAGGCGCGAAAGCGUGGGGAGCAAACAGGAUUAGAUACCCUGGUAGUCCACGCCGUAAACGAUGAGUGCUAGGUGUUAGGGGUUUCGAUGCCCGUAGUGCCGAAGUAAACACAUAAGCAC